rnacentral:ribozyme from 1 species
GGUGUGCGAUAGACUUACCUCCACGUGGUGCACUCCGGGCAACGUAUUCUCCUACGGCAAAAAAGUCUAU